AUUGCGUCGCAAUUCUGAUUAGCGGAACAUUUCGCUUUCAUUCCAUUAACCUUUCCGCUGCGGUCCCGGUGGACAACCGGUCAGUAUCACCGUUCUUCAUCGAAGGUAUCCAGUCGUCUACAGCCAUGCAAGCAAAGAUAUAUCUCUUCGCAUUUCUGCUCCUUGUCGGCGCCAUCCUGGUAUAUGGAACUCAUGAAAAAAAGGACCCACGCUGCGACGCACCGCUUCUGACGUCGUGUCCUAUGGACGCCUGGGGACACAACUACACUUUUCACAACGAAAGUAACUGGUGCAGAGAAAUAUCCGUCUGUGAAAGAGAUUUCACCCUCAACCAAUUUACAAGCAGGCAAGAGUGCUUGAGGACAUGCCAGAGGUAAUGCCGCAUCGCCACGAGAUCCCGUGCGCCGAGCUCGUGACAUGCAGUCAAGAAGACUCGACCACGUAAUUCGAGAAGAAUUCCGAAUAAAUGGGUCUUAAAUACUCAG